rnacentral:miRNA from 1 species
GGGCUUUGUGAUGUAGGCAAGUGUUCUACCACUGAGCUACAUUGCCAGCCCAUCUCACCA